CCGACGGGAGGUAGCAGUGGGGGAGAUUGCACAAUGGGGGGAAGCCUGAUGCAGCGACGCCGCGUGGGUGAAGGAGCGCUUCGGCGCGUAAAGCUCUAUCGGCAGGGAAGAAGGAGGACGGUACCUGACUAAGAAGCCCCGGCUAACUACGUGCCAGCAGCUGCGGUAAUACGUAGGGGGCAAGCGUUAUCCGGAUUUACUGGGUGUAACGGGGGCGCAGACGGCAGCGGAAGCCAGGUGUGAAAGCCCGGGGCGCAACCCGGGGACUGCUCUUGAAACUGCGCGGCUGGAGUGCAGGUGGGGCAGGCGGAAUUCGUGGUGUAGCGGUGAAAUGCGUAGAUAUCAGGAGGAACACCGGUGGCGAAGGCGGCCUGCUGGACUGCGACUGACGUUGAGGCCCGAAAGCGUGGGGAGCAAACAGGAUUAGAUACCCCAGUAGUC
rnacentral:rRNA from 1 species